rnacentral:rRNA from 1 species
UACGUAGGGUCCGAGCGUUAAUCGGAAUUACUGGGCGUAAAGCGUGCGCAGGCGGUUUUGUAAGCCAGAUGUGAAAGCCCCGGGCUUAACCUGGGAAUGGCAUUUGGGACUGCAAGGCUGGAGUAUGGCAGAGGAGACUAGAAUUCCUGGUGUAGCAGUGAAAUGCGUAGAUAUCAGGAGGAAUACCGAUGGCGAAGGCAGGUCUCUGGGCCAAUACUGACGCUCAUGCACGAAAGCGUGGGGAGCAAACAGG